UACAGAGGGUGCGAGCGUUAAUCGGAAUUACUGGGCGUAAAGCGCACGUAGGCGGCUUGGUAUGUCGGGUGUGAAAUCCCCCGGCUUAACCUGGGAACUGCGUCUGAUACUGGACGGCUUGAGUAUGGGAGAGGGAUGUAGAAUUCCAGGUGUAGCGGUGAAAUGCGUAGAUAUCUGGAGGAAUACCGGUGGCGAAGGCGGCAUCCUGGACCAUUACUGACGCUGAGGCGCGAAAGCUAGGGGAGCAAACGGG
rnacentral:rRNA from 1 species